rnacentral:rRNA from 1 species
UACGUAGGGUGCGAGCGUUAAUCGGAAUUACUGGGCGUAAAGCGUGCGCAGGCGGCGCGUUAAGACAGGUGUGAAAGCCCCCGAGCUUAACUUGGGAAUUGCGCUUGUGACUGGCGUGCUGGAGUGUGGCAGAGGGAGGUGGAAUUCCACGUGUAGCAGUGAAAAUGCGCAGAUAUCAGGAAGAACACCAAUGGCGAAAGCAGCUUUCUGGGACGGUACUGACGCUGAGACGCGAAAGCGUGGGGAGCGAACAGG